rnacentral:rRNA from 1 species
CAAGUCGAGGGAAUCCCAGCAAUGGGGGAACCGGCGUAAGGGGCAGUAAGGCAUGGGUACCUACCCCGAAGUUCGGAAUAGCCAUCAGAGAUGGUGGGUAAUACCGGAUGAUGUCGUGAGACCAAAGAUUUAUCGCUUUGGGAGGGGCCCAUGUGAUAUUAGCUAGUUGGUGAGGUAACGGCUCACCAAGGCGAAGAUGUCUAGCGGGUAUGAGAGUACGACCCGCGCCACUCGCACUGAGACACUGGCGAGACACCUACGGGUGGCUGCAGUCGAGGAUCUUCGGCAAUGGGCGAAAGCCUGACCGAGCGACGCCGCGUGCGCGAUGAAGGCCUUCGGGUUGUAAAGCGCUUUAGUGGGGGAGAAAAGGGUAAAACCUUGAUCUAUCCCAAAAAUAAGCUCGGGCUAAGUUCGUGCCAGCAGCCGCGGUAAGACGAACCGAGCGAACGUUGUUCGGAAUCACUGGGCUUAAAGGGCGCGUAGGCGGGCUGUCAAGUCUGGGGUGAAAUCCCACGGCUCAACCGUGGAACUGCCUUAGAUACUGACGGCCUCGAGGGAGGUAGGGGCGAGCGGAACUGUGAGUGGAGCGGUGAAAUGCGUUGAUAUUCACAGGAACUCCGGUGGCGAAGGCGGCUCGCUGGACCUUUUCUGACGCUGAGGCGCGAAAGCUAG